AGCCUGAAUCUUUAUUGCCCUCAAUCUUCAAAGGAGUAGAAAACUCCGUUAAACAAAAUGGAAUCCUGGGGGCCACAUCGUAUGAAUGACUCAUUGGAUAAUACUUGUAGAACUACCCAGAAUCGCUUACGUGUGAGGGUUAAAGAAGGGCAUAUGUACCCAGCACAGGGUAAAGGAGCAGAACGGAUUUGAUCAUUUUACACUAUGUAAAGAUGCCUGAGGGCAACAGCCCUGCCAGCAGUACAUACGGGCAGGUGUUCCUACACCCUUCCAUUCCCAGAUUUUACCGACAAGUCUUUUUUCACAGGUUCUCUACCAAUCACGUUUCCCCAGCAAUACAAGGUUGACAUUACUGCAACCAGGUGGCAGAACCAGAGCUCUCCUCUUCUGGGUCAGAAACAGGCCAUGAGAUCUGGUCUAACCAGCAGACCUGGCCUCCCUGGAUCCUGGAGGAUCAAACAUCACUGGUACUAAAGGUGCUGUGCCUGGAAGGCAGGAGGCAGGUCCAGGGGCAGCAAGAGAGGCCACUACCUUUCUGCAGUGAAAGCAUGAGGCGUUUUUUUGUAAAGGUCGGAAGACACGGCUGUGUUGAGCUGCGCUGCCUGAAGCAUACAGAACCUCUGCAUGUUGAGUGAACCAAAUGCAAAGCCUUUCUCCUCCUGCACAUGAACGAUGGAUUCACCCACCAUCCCCUCCAUGACUGCUUUUCCCCGGCCGACAGCUCGCUGGGGAGCAGGCUGAUAUUACCACCAUUUCCCAGAGGACCCCAGCCCAUGGGCCACAACUCGCCCACUGUGGGGCGGGACCAAGUGGAAGGCGUGCCAACCUCCAGGCCUGGGCUGCCUGACAGGGCGCUCCAUCCCGCGUUACCUCUCCAGGGCACAGCUACUCUCCCUUCUUCCACCUGUAUUAAUGCUCAGAGCUCACAGGUAAGGCUUCCCUGCAUUUGACCAGGAUUCUGUGUAGAAUCGCUUGGAAUGUGAGCAACAUUGGGGCAGGUGUCUGUGUGCUCAUCUGGCCUCCAUAAACCCUCCCUCCUGGCCAGUCCUCACUUGCACUGAGCUGUUCUCUGAGGGUCACCCAUCCCAGUGUGACAAGUGCCUGAUUCCAUCAAAGAACAGUGAACAGCAGCCCUGGUUGAAGGUAUGGCAUGCAACCCCAAUAUGCCAAGGGGACAGCUGCUGUCUUUCAGCAACCAGCCAGGCCCCAGCUCCACUCUUCACCUGCCCCCUGCUUCCUGCACCCCAAAGAGCCAGCCUUGCUGUGCGCCUGGGGUGCUCAGGGGAGUGGGCUGGGCCUCAGUGUCAUCUGCUCCCUCUCGGAAGCUCCUGGACCCACCCUGUCGAUUACAGUGAAAGGUGGCUUCCCCCUCCCUCCAGAGCCUCUGAUUUCAGCCUCUGUCGCUACUGGAAUGUAGGCGGCAGAGGUGCAAAGGGGGAGAGGAGACCUGAAUGGGGGCACCUAGGAAAAGAACAGGGAACUCAAGGUGGGGGUGAUAGGAAUCUCAUUUCCUUCCAAUAUCCUUUUUCUUACACUUUGAAGAUUUAAAACUGAUAAAAGGGAUACCAACUGCAGAAGCAAAGCCGGGAGCCUAUGGUCAUCCUCCCACUGCGGGCAGUGAGGCCUCUAGUACCGAGAGGAAACCCCACCCAAACAUACCUCCAAGUGUCCCUGCCCAGGACAGGAAACCCAAGCACGGCCCUGUCACAGUCAAGCUGGUCUGGGGAAAGAAAAGCAGAGCCCACGUGGUCCCCUCACUAGCACACCUGCGUGCAGGGGAGCCUUGGGCUCAGCCCCUGCCAGACAGCACUGAGCCACACCCCCGCCCACACAUAGCAGACGGGACACUGCACACAGUGAUGGUCAAGAUCUUGCCACAUCUGACACCAGAAGGCACUUUUAAGGGUUUUCCAACAUUAGUAGCCCCGUGAGAUCAGUUAACGGCUGAGAAACCAAAGAUGCUAGAGCAACCAAAACAAAGGCCCAUGGCGGAGUGAGGGCCAUGUGGGGUCAACUUUCUGGUAUCAAGGAUGACACAGGGCUAAAAAACUCUACGCCUGACCCAAGCCAACGCCGAGCCUGCGAUUUCCCUUGGACAAAAUCUCCAGAACGCCUUUCCUAUCAUCAGCCUCUUCCUCCAGUUGAGCUGAGGCUGCUCUUAGCUGGAUUUCAGUUACGUAAUGUUUAUGUGGUCAUUACUCUGUAUUGUUUGCCAACUGCGUCUUUUCCCUUUGGUUUG